CCACCUUCCACUGCCUGGAAACGGGACAGAUGGCCCCUUCUGGAAGCACAGGUGGUGCAGAGUGCCUCGCGAGCACUGAAGGUGUUGAGGGUCUGGCUCAUGCCCCACACUGCCCAUGUGUGGACUGCGGCACGGAAACAGCGCUCAGAGAGGCUCCGUGGCCUUGCCCCAGCUCGCAAGUGGUGGUGCAGGACGCCGAUGUCAGCGCUAUCGGGCUCUGUGACACUGUGCUAUCUGUCCACGCCCCUGGACCGUCUUAUUGAAGGCAAGCAAGGAGGAGAGAACAGGGAAGGCGGAGGGAACCCACACUGACCAGAGACUUUGCAGCCAGCUCACCCCUCCAAUUCCCCCGCCUGGAGUCCCUGACCCAGGAAUUUCUGCAUCAGGCUGCUCAAACCUGAAUUUGACAAAAUUUCAAAGCGCUGUUUCUUUAUGUUGAUAAGACAACGGAUAAAGUGCCAUACUUGGAACCUAGAUCACUCGAUGUUGCCUGUAGCUGAGUCCACCUCUGUCACUCAUCCUGCAUUGCCCUGCUAGGAGCAAGGGAGAGAAAGCCAGCCAGAAGGCAUGGGUGUGGGCUUAAAUCUGGCUCCUCCUGUAGCCACUGUGAAAGUUGAUCAUACAAAGGUCACUGUUGUCAUAGCCAAGCAGAGUUAGGAGACCAGGGGAAAAAGCACUUGGACCAUGUAACAUUGCUUAAGAGUAUAACUGUCUCCAACCCUGGCUGCUGGAACAAGUGUUGCAACCUGAAACCAGUUUGCUCUAAUAGCUACUGAAACAACCUGCGGAAAUCUAAGACUAGUUUCACCCACUCACCAAUGAGAGCUUGCCGGAUCCCCAAAACGUUGCUAGUGCUAAUGAACCUGCUUUCCUAACAAUCCGUAACAUUUCUCAUUUUUAUGAAACCUACAACCUUCUCUUUGCUCUUUGGACAUACUGAAGACCACCCAGUCUGUGUGUGUGCCCCAAACUGAAAUUCUUGCUUCCCAAAUAAAACAUUUUAAGCUUA